rnacentral:rRNA from 1 species
UACGGAGGGUGCAAGCGUUAUCCGGAUUCACUGGGUUUAAAGGGUGCGUAGGCGGGUAUAUAAGUCAGUGGUGAAAGCUCCGGGCUUAACUUGGAAACUGCCAUUGAUACUGUAUAUCUUGAAUGUCGUUGAGGUUAGCGGAAUGUUGCAUGUAGCGGUGAAAUGCGCAGAUAUCGGGAAGAACACCCGUGGCGAAGGCGGCUCUCUGGGACGGUACUGACGCUGAGACGCGAAAGCGUGGGGAGCGAACAGG